AUUGAACGCUGGCGGCAGGCCUAACACAUGCAAGUCGAACGAGUGGCGGACGGGUGAGUAAUGUCUGGGAAACUGCGCGAUGGAGGGGGAUAACUACUGGAAACGGUAGCUAAUACCGCAUACCAUCGGAUGUGCCCAGAUGGGAUUAGCUAGUGGGUGGGGUAAUGGCUCACCUAGGCGACGAUCCCUAGCUGGUCUGAGAGAAUGACCAGCCACACUGGAACUGAGACACGGUCCAAACUCCUACGGGAGGCAGCAGUGGGGAAUAUUGCACACUGGCCCAAAGCCUGAUGCAGCCAUGCCGCGUGUGUGAAGAAGUCCUUCUGGUUGUAACGCACUUUCAGCGAGGAGGCGUUACUCGCAGAAGAAGCACCGGCUAACUCCGUGCCAGCAGCCGCGGUAAUAC
rnacentral:rRNA from 1 species